rnacentral:lncRNA from 1 species
UCUAUCUCCCAAAAAGAUGUAAACAGUCGGCUAUACUCUUCAUUUUUCUAAAAUAUCCAUAUUUAGUAGAUAUGUCCAACAUAAAUAUAUAUACACACGAGAAUAAACAUUUCAUAAGAUAUAUAUUUAUAUCUAACCCUCCAAUUAAAAUUUCAAUAAGAUACAUUCAUAUGGUGGUACAUUCAUGUCACUCAUUCAUAAGCAUGGACAAA